rnacentral:rRNA from 1 species
CCUACGGGAGGCAGCAGUAGGGAAUCUUGCGCAAUGGGCGAAAGCCUGACGCAGCCAUGCCGCGUGAAUGAUGAAGGUCUUAGGAUUGUAAAAUUCUUUCACCGGGGACGAUAAUGACGGUACCCGGAGAAGAAGCUCCGGCUAACUUCGUGCCAGCAGCCGCGGUAAU